AGUUUGAUCAUGGCUCAGAAUGAACGUUGGCGGCGUGGAUUAGGCAUGCAAGUCGAGGGAGAACCGCAAGGGGACACCGGCGAACGGGGUAGGAUCACGUAGGUGACGUACCCCCAGGGCGAGGAUAGCCACGGGAAACUGUGGGUAAUACUCGAUAAUCUUCCCGAUCGUGAUGAUUGGGAAGCAAUGGGUGUGAUUCCACCUGGGGAGCGGCUUACGCAGUAUCAGCUAGUUGGUGAGGUAACGGCUCACCAAGGCUUUGACGCUUAGGGGGUGUGAGAGCAUGGCCCCCACCACUGGCACUGAGACACUGGCCAGACACCUACGGGUGGCUGCAGUCGAGAAUCUUCGGCAAUGGACGAAAGUCUGACCGAGCGACGCCGCGUGCGGGAUGAAGGUCUUCGGAUUGUAAACCGCUGUCAGAGGGGAUGAAGUGUACGAGAGCAAUCUCUUGUAUUUGACAGAGCCUCAGAGGAAGCACGGGCUAAGUUCGUGCCAGCAGCCGCGGUAAUACGAACUGUGCGAACGUUAUUCGGAAUCACUGGGCUUAAAGGGUGCGUAGGCGGUUUUCUAAGUCAGGUGUGAAAUCUUCCGGCUCAACCGGAAAACUGCGCCUGAGACUGGAUAACUUGAGUGAGGUAGGGGUGUGUGGAACUUCCGGUGGAGCGGUGAAAUGUGUAGAGAUCGGAAGGAACGCCAGCAGCGAAAGCGGCACACUGGGCCUUUUCUGA
rnacentral:rRNA from 1 species